rnacentral:rRNA from 1 species
CCUACGGGAGGCAGCAGUGAGGAAUAUUGGUCAAUGGCCGAGAGGCUGAACCAGCCAAGUCGCGUGAGGGAAGACGGCCCUACGGGUCGUAAACCUCUUUUGUCGGGGGGCACAGAGAGUCACGUGUGACUCAUUGAGAGUCCCCGAAGAAAAAGCAUCGGCUAACUCCGUGCCAGCAGCCGCGGUAAUACGGAGGAUGCGAGCGUUAUCCGGAUUUAUUGGGGUUAAAGGGUGCGCAGGCGGAGGUGCAAGUCAGCGGUAAAAUUGCGGGGCGCAACCCCGUACUUCCGUUGACACUGCAUACCCUGAGUGCGCGAGAAGUAUGCGGAAUGCGUGGUGUAGAGGUGAAAUGCAUAGAUAUCACGCAGAACUCCGAUUGCGAAGGCAGCAUACCGGCGCGCAACUGACGCUCAUGCACGAAAGCGUGGGUAUCGAACAGGAUUAGAUACCCCUGUAGUC